rnacentral:misc_RNA from 1 species
AAGACUAUAGACCUGCGGAGUACCUGCGGAGGGAUCAUUAUAGAGUUUUCUAAACUCCCAACCCAUGUGAACUUACCUUUUGUUGCCUCGGCAGAAGUUAUAGGUCUUCUUAUAGCUGCUGCCGGUGGACCAUUAAACUCUUGUUAUUUUAUGUAAUCUGAGCGUCUUAUUUUAAUAAGUCAAAACUUUUAGCAAUGGAUCUCU